UACGUAGGGGGCAAGCGUUGUCCGGAUUUAUUGGGCGUAAAGAGCGUGUAGGCGGCCAGGUAGGUCAGCUGUGAAAACUCGAGGCUCAACCUCGAGACGUCGGUUGAAACCACCUGGCUAGAGUCCGGAAGAGGAGAGUGGAAUUCCUGGUGUAGCGGUGAAAUGCGCAGAUAUCAGGAGGAACACCGGUGGCGAAGGCGGGUCUCUGGGCAACAACUGACGCUGAGGAGCGAAAGCGUGGGGAGCGAACAGG
rnacentral:rRNA from 1 species